rnacentral:lncRNA from 1 species
GAAGAUGAGUGGUUCAUCAUGUCGACUAUGUACUUUGGUAGAAACACCGCAUCGGCUACGAGCGGAGGUUCAACAGGACUUUCUGAUGACACGUCCAGUGAUUACCGUAUCGUUCUGCCCCGCCUGCCCCAGAGGUGCACUGCUGGCAGGAAUGCAGUCGAGGUCGUACAGGCUCCAAUGAAGAAGACCGUUCCAGAGACGCAAAAGACAGGGAAUCUG